UCACCAGGUGCCAAGGGCAGGUGAUGACACAUUUGUAGGGUGUUUAAACUCUGCUGCUAAUGUGCCAGCUCCAUCUCUGCUCACUUAGUAGCUUGCCCACAAGCUGCUAGCCCCUUAGCACAGUAACAAUUUGAAUGGUUUAACAUAGUCCCACUGCUUCCACGGAUACUAAAGGGAUCCAGAGUCUUAAUGGCAAUACUGCCACUGGCCUGCUAUUUUAGAAGAAUAGGUGAAAAACUUAGGAAGUUGCAUACCUCACCACGUCGCCAUCGUCUUCGCUGUCUUCACCACCAUCCUCAUCGCAGCCUCAGGUUAGCCACAGCAGAACGAAGGCUUCGCAAUUGUGUCAGUCUGCAUCCCUCUCCUGGGCUAAACGUAAUCAUGUAGGUCCUGCAAAAGCUACCAGUCCGUCAAUCCGUCUGCGUCGUUGG